GGCAAUAUGGUGGAAUUGGUAGACACAGGAGACUUAAAAUCUCCUGGUCAGUAAUGACCGUGCGGGUUCGAGUCCCGCUAUUGCUA
rnacentral:tRNA from 1 species